GUGAGAAGGUUUCAUCUUCUGCAACCAACUCCAAAGCUGUGUUGAUAGAAGAUUCAGUCAAUACAGAUCAAGUUAACGGUGAAUUAAGUUCUGGUAUUGUGAAGGACAUCAAAGUUAACGGCACUCUCUAUUCCUUUUCAGGCAUGGCAGCAACCAAACCUCACAAUUUGAAACGUGAAUUACCCUUGAGUGGUUCAGACGAUGAUAAUAGGAACAGCGGAGCCAAGAGAGCAGAAACAACAGAGAGUUGUUGAUAAGUGUGGAACAUUUUCUCACUAAUUAUNNNNNNNNNNNAUAGAUUUUUUUUUUUUUAUCCCAUCAGCGAAAGAGUUGAUUAGGGAAUUUUUGUCCGGGG
rnacentral:misc_RNA from 1 species